CCUACGGGCGGCAGCAGUGGGGAAUAUUGGACAAUGGGCGAAAGCCUGAUCCAGCCAUGCCGCGUGUGUGAAGAAGGCCUUCGGGUUGUAAAGCACUUUCAGUGGGGAAGAAAGCCUUGGGGCUAAUACCCUCGAGGUAGGACAUCACCCACAGAAGAAGCACCGGCUAACUCCGUGCCAGCAGCCGCGGUAAUACGGAGGGUGCGAGCGUUAAUCGGAAUUACUGGGCGUAAAGCGCGCGUAGGCGGUCUGUUAAGCCGGUUGUGAAAGCCCCGGGCUCAACCUGGGAACGGCAUCCGGAACUGUCAGGCUAGAGUGUAGGAGAGGAAGGUAGAAUUCCCGGUGUAGCGGUGAAAUGCGUAGAGAUCGGGAGGAAUACCAGUGGCGAAGGCGGCCUUCUGGACUGACACUGACGCUGAGGUGCGAAAGCGUGGGUAGCAAACAGGAUUAGAUACCCCAGUAGUC
rnacentral:rRNA from 1 species